rnacentral:rRNA from 1 species
UACGUAGGGUGCAAGCGUUGUCCGGAAUUAUUGGGCGUAAAGGGCUCGUAGGCGGUCUGUUGCGUCAGGAGUGAAAACUCGGGGCUUAACCCCGAGCCUGCUUCUGAUACGGGCAGACUAGAGGUAUGCAGGGGAGAACGGAAUUCCUGGUGUAGCGGUGAAAUGCGCAGAUAUCAGGAGGAACACCGGUGGCGAAGGCGGUUCUCUGGGCAUUACCUGACGCUGAGGAGCGAAAGUGUGGGGAGCGAACAGG